AUUGAACGCUGGGGGCAGGCUUAACACAUGCAAGUCGAGCGGAGCGAGGGUGCUUGCACCUUAGCUUAGCGGCGGACGGGUGAGUAAUGCUUAGGAAUCUGCCUAUUAGUGGGGGACAACAUUCCGAAAGGGAUGCUAAUACCGCAUACGCCCUACGGGGGAAAGCAGGGGAUCUUCGGACCUUGCGCUAAUAGAUGAGCCUAAGUCGGAUUAGCUAGUUGGUGGGGUAAAGGCCUACCAAGGCGACGAUCUGUAGCGGGUCUGAGAGGAUGAUCCGCCACACUGGGACUGAGACACGGCCCAGACUCCUACGGGAGGCAGCAGUGGGGAAUAUUGGACAAUGGGCGGAAGCCUGAUCCAGCCAUGCCGCGUGUGUGAAGAAGGCCUUUUGGUUGUAAAGCACUUUAAGCGAGGAGGAGGCUACUAGUAUUAAUACUACUGGAUAGUGGACGUUACUCGCAGAAUAAGCACCGGCUAACUCUGUGCCAGCCGCCGCAGUAAUAC
rnacentral:rRNA from 1 species